rnacentral:lncRNA from 1 species
GUUGGAAAUUAGCAUCGUGGAGGAAGAUCCAUUGUUCAAAUGGAAUUCGGUUAUCUUCCUGUGGCCGAUCGUAGCCCGGAUUUGAACCAAAUCGAGCAUAUAUGAGACACUAUUGGACGUAUAUUACGCGAAAGGACACCCCUAGUUUAAACAUGUCAUGAAAUAAACAAUGCCAUCAGGAAUGGUUUCGGUUACCUCAGCAACA